AGCGGACGCUGGCGGCAGGCCUAACACAUGCAAGUCGAACGAACCCUUCGGGGUUAGUGGCGGACGGGUGAGUAACACGUGGGAACGUGCCUUUAGGUUCGGAAUAACUCAGGGAAACUUGUGCUAAUACCGAAUGUGCCCUUCGGGGGAAAGCUUUCUCGCCUUUAGAGCGGCCCGCGUCUGAUUAGCUAGUGGGGGAGGUAAUGGCUCACCAAGGCUACGAUCAGUGGCUGGUCUGAGAGGAUGACCAGCCACAUUGGGACUGAGACACGGCCCAAACUCCUACGGGAGGCAGCAGUGGGGAAUCUUGCGCAAUGGGCGAAAGCCUGACGCAGCCAUGCCGCGUGGAUGAUGAAGGUCUUAGGAUUGUAAAAUCCUUUCACCGGUGAAGAUAAUGACUGUAGCCGGAGAAGAAGCCCCGGCUAACUUCGUGCCAGCAGCCGCCGUAACAC
rnacentral:rRNA from 1 species